rnacentral:rRNA from 1 species
UACAGAGGGUGCGAGCGUUAAUCGGAAUUACUGGGCGUAAAGCGCACGUAGUCGGCUUUGCAAGUCGGGUGUGAAAUCCCCGGGCUCAGCCUGGGAACUGCAUCCGAGACUGCAUUGCUAGAGUAUGGGAGAGGGAAGCGGAAUUUCUGGUGUAGCAGUGAAAUGCGUAGAUAUCAGAAGGAACAUCAGUGGCGAAGGCGGCUUCCUGGACCAAUACUGACGAUCAGGUGCGAAAGCGUGGGGAGCAAACAGG